CUCGUGUGCUCUCGCUCUCGCGUAAGCCGCGGUUUGUUAGAUAAUGCGCGCGCUACUUACCUACACGACUAGCGGUUACACGCAUUUACGACAUUUACGCUUUGCUCCACUUCACGAAAAAACUAGGAAUAUAGGGCCGCACCGGGGGAGCGCACUCGGUUCUCCGGUAAAAUUUGCGUGGAGUGAGUGAUAAAAAAAUAUUCUAAAAAAAAAAAACAUGGGAAUGAUCUGAAGAAAUCUCUGGUUGGUCAUAUAUGGUAAGGGUGAAAUAACAAUGGCAAGAGAAGAUACAAUGGGAUACGUAGUUCUUCAUACCCACAAUUAUAUUUAAACGUCAAGGACAAUCGAAGUGACGAUGACGCUGUGGCCGAUUAGCGGUAGCCACAUCAGGGAAUACCUCGGGAUUUAUGUCGAAAUCCUGGCCAGUGCUGACUCGUCACACUGGAUUCGCUUACGAAUGCGCGCCUACACUGCACGAGGGGGAGGAGGGGAAGCACGUGGGCACGGAGUGGGCCUUAUAAAAGUAGGUGUGCUAGUAUGCACGUAGGGGGUUUUACGAGGAAACGGCAAGAACCGUAACCUACUUUGAUCGAAGCAAAGUGGACGCGAACGAUUCGAACGAGGGGAGUGAAGGAAAUGAAGGAGGAAAGAGGGGUCUUGAUUCUUUGGAAUUUGUAUGAUCAUCGUUUGCGCGGACGAACAUUCUUGGAAUAAUUACACCGGGCAUACGGAACGGUAAAAUUCUGCCAACUUUCCAUUUCAAUGUGAAUCCAAGGCUUCCUUGGAAUUCGAUUGACCUACAUUCGCUUCUUAAAAUCUAUGAAGAAGCGACAACAUUCCGCUACAAGAUUAGUAAAUGUUGUUCUAUAACUUAAAAAUUAAAAAAAAUAUAUAAUAAAUGAAUUGAAU